ACUUCUGCAGCACAGUUUCCUCAGAGAACAGCCCCAAAUCACCUGGGAAGGAAAAUAAACAUAAAACAACCCAACCAUGUCCAGCCAACCCCCCCCCCCAACACACAACAAUCACAUGUGCUCAUAUUAAUAUGGACAUCACAUAACUGAUGUGCACACCCACAGCCGUUAUUACCGGUAAUAGGCACCAGUCCACAGUGCAUCACAGACAGGCAACCCAUGAUUAUGGGACCGUGGUUCACAUACAUCAGUCCAUAUAGUGGAUCAAAGACAUAAUCCAGAGGACAGGUAAAGCAGAUUCUGUUAUCAAAGCAUCACACAGUGGACAACCCCAUCCCAACGCACGUGCUCUUGCUCUCUCUUUCCUCUUUGUUUUUCAUUUUACUCUAUUUUUUCACCCCUUCUGUUUUUUCCUCUUUGUUUCCCAUCUUACACUUUUCACUCGCUCUCCCUCAGCCUCCAGUAUAUCAGCUGUCCAGCGGCCCGCAACACACCCCUCUGUCCAGACCAGCAAGAUCAUAUGAAUGAGCUCAAUGCUUUCCCCUUGCUGGGAUGUGAGGCCAAUAUGCUGGCCACGCUGUGGUACUUGCGUGUCAUGUCAGCCAAGACGGACUGUGUGAAUGUUGUGAUCGCAUGUUACGUGGCAUGACGCGUUGUGUGCCGUCGCGCUGUCUGGUGGGAUGGCGCGCUGGACCUGACAGCAGGAUGGGAGGGGUGUUCAGCACUGGCUGCUGCAUGGUUGGUGUUCUCCCAGCUCUGUGACAUGCACCUCAAGGCGUUCCAAAGCUGGGUUUUUAUUUUUAUUUCUGUUGUAGUGGCCUAACAAUGCUGCAUGCGCCAUGAUAGCUGUAUUAAAGCUGUCACAUUCUGGUCAGCUGUUAUGUGGCAGUGUGCUAGGCCUGUGACAUGCAUCGACUCACUGUGGGCCAGUAGCACACCCCUGCAUGUCGUGUUAUAGUUGUGAUGAUCAUAAUGUCUCACAUACAUUAUGUAACCCAUGGGAGGGGAUGACAAUGUGUCUGUUAAAUUAGGUCCAUCAUGGACAUAACAGCCCGUCCAGAUGUGCGCGCUGGACAGCGAUCGCUCUGCACUCCGACCACCUUCUAGCUUUCGCCACUUCGACCAGAGCCUCAAGAAUAGUGGCUUGUGCUCUACAUUCGGGCUGGCUUUAGAGUGCUCCUCGACUUUGGCCAUGUGUGAGUUGAAUAGCCAUUUGGGUGCCAUUCAGCCUCUAGUGUGAAGGCUGACUCGGUCGGGACAUUCAGCCAGGAUUCGACGUGGCCGAACAUUUUGUACAGCCCCUGAACCGCAGUCCGAAUGGUUCGACUUACUGUACAAAUAUUGUGACUGCAGUCAGAUUGCGGUAAGGCUGCAGUUUGACCGCUGUUCAAUUGUUUUCCAACGCUAGUGCAACAAGAAUGUAGAGUGCAUGUGCUCUGGCUGCAAAAAUGUGCCAACUGCUGUGAGGCUGCUGUACAAGGCGUUUGAGUGCAGUUUGAAUUUGCACAACUGUUGUCCGAAUCCUCCUCUGUGCACUAUUCGGCCUCAUUCGUGGUAUGUGAAGGGGCCUUAAACAACAUUGGAUGCUCCUCUUAUUUAGGUAAGCAAUAACAGUUCUAUAAAAUAAAAUAGAUAAUAAAUUUUUGGAGUAUAAAUGUGAAACCAAUUAAAGUUUAUUGAAGUACAUUUUAAAUGAAAGUUGCUUAGAUAUGACUAUUGAAUGUGAUGCUGAAGUUGAUUUAUAAGCCUGAAAUUUCAGUUGGUUUUGAAGCCAAAAACCACUUCAGCACAGUGUGUUACUUGUUCGAAUUCAGUACAUAAAGUUGAAUGUUAUAUUUGUAAUUGAUUAAAUAUAGAGCAUUUACACCUGUAAACUUGCACAAAAGUCCUCAAACCUCUACAUGAGCCACCACGCCACCUUCUGAGCGAUAAAUGGACUGCAUUUAUAGAGCGCUUUUCCAUCUGCGUCAGACAAAGCGCUUUACAAAUAAUGCCUCACAUUCACCCUGAUGUCAGGGUGCUGCCAUACAUGGUGCUCACUAAACUCCGGGAGCAACUAGGGGAUUAAAGACCUUGCCUAAGGGCCCUUAGUGAUUUUCCAGUCAGGCUGGGAUUUGAACCAAGGAUCUUCUGGUCUCAAGCACAAAGUUGUCACACGUUUAUGAUAGAUUGUUUUGUCAACACGCCUUGUUGGUUUGUGUGAUUCCUGGCAGUUCUGAACCACAUGUUGCUUCGUCCUUGAUGAAAUUGUUUCCUGAUCACUAAAGGUGUAGCUUUCUGCAGAUUAACACAGCGACACCUGGUGGCUGGCUGGGGAGCAGCAUUUCAUGCAAAUGAUCUACUUUCAAUGGAUCACUUUCACCAAAAGGAAAAAAAAGUUGAUCUGUCCUGCAGGUGUGAUCAGAAACAUUUUUUUUUUUUCUCCCUGGCUCUUGGUAAUCUAGUUUUUGUUUGAUGAUAAACUCUGAAUCUCUUGCACAGGACAGAAUGUUUGGAAAUGUUUCAUUCAUAAAGCACAUAGAACACUUUUUUAUUACUGUAUAGCUGAAACACUCAAAUUAAGUUGGUGAUUACGUUCUUGCUCACACCCACACACA